GCCUCUGGACUGACCCCAUACCACCCCAAUCAGUAUCAUCCUGGUUUAACCUUUCCCUUGGGGAUUAUAACCCAUCCCUAAUUUUGACAGAGAAACAAGGACAGGAAAGCUGUCCCUUUAGUUUAAAUUGGUUUCUUUUUACUAGCAAACAAAAUUAGGGUCCCAGGUUAAACUGGUUAGCAAGCAAAUGGCUCAGGGGCUUGGAGUUAUCACAUAAUUCAACCAUGCCUUUAGCUCAGACUGGAAAAGAUGGUCCUUUGAAGUACAUGAAGAAAUGAGCAAAAGAAUCAGAAGAGGAAAGAAUCCAAGAAGACAGAAGGAAGAAUGGAACAUUUGCUUUCUUAGGAAAUUAAGGAAGGACACCAGAAGAAAAUCCCUUGGGUGGGAAUGGCAGAAGGCAAGGACAAAUGGAAGUAAGAAACAUUAUUGCAUGGCCUGGA